rnacentral:rRNA from 1 species
CUACGUGCCAGCAGCCGCGGUAAUACGGAGGAUGCGAGCGUUAUCCGGAUUUAUUGGGUUUAAAGGGUGCGUAGGUUGUUCGGUAAGUCAGCGGUGAAACCUGAGCGCUCAACGUUCAGCCUGCCGUUGAAACUGCCGGGCUUGAGUUCAGUGGCGGCAGGCGGAAUUCGUGGUGUAGCGGUGAAAUGCAUAGAUGUCACGAGGAACUCCGAUUGCGAAGGCAGCUUGCCAUACUGCGACUGACACUGAAGCACGAAGGCGUGGGUAUCAAACAGGAUUAGAUACCCUGGUAGUCCACGCAGUAAACGAUGAUUACUAGGAGUUUGCGAUAUACCGUCAAGCUUCCACAGCGAAAGCGUUAAGUAAUCCACCUGGGGAGUACGCCGGCAACGGUGAAACUCAAAGGAAUUGACGGGGGCCCGCACAAGCGGAGGAACAUGUGGUUUAAUUCGAUGAUACGCGAGGAACCUUACCCGGGAUUGAA